GCCUGGCUGGCUCAAUUGGUUAAGUGUCUGACUUCAGUUCAGGUCACGAUCUCACAGUUUGUGGGUUCCAGCCCCGCGUCGGGCU
rnacentral:tRNA from 1 species